GGAGUCUGGACCGUAUCUCAGUUCCAAUGUGGCCGAUCACCCUCUCAGGUCGGCUACCGAUCGUCGCCUUGGUGGGCUGUUAUCUCACCAACUAGCUAAUCGGACGCGGAUCCAUCUCGCACCGAUAAAUCUUUUACCCCUGUCCCAUGCGGGACCGUGGUCUUAUGCGGUAUUACCAGCCGUUUCCAGCUGCUAUCCCCCUGUGCGAGGCAGGUUAUCCACGCGUUACUCACCCGUCCGCCACUAAGUUAAAGAUCCAUCCGAAAAUUUCACUUUAACCCCGUUCGACUUGCAUGUGUUAGGCACGCCGCCAGCGUUCAUC
rnacentral:rRNA from 1 species